GAACACAGGUGCUGCAUGGCUGUCGUCAGCUCGUGUCGUGAGAUGUUGGUUAAGUCCGCAACGAGCGCAACCCUCCAUUGUUAGUUACUACCAUUCAGUUGAGGACUCUAAUGAGACUGCCAACGACAAGUUGGAGGAAGGUGGGGAUGACGUCAAAUCAUCAUGCCCUUUAUGACCUGGGCUACAAACGUACUACAAUGGCCAAUACAAAGAGAUGCGAAGCGGUGACGUGGAGCGAACCUCAGAAAGUUGGUCUCAGUUCAGAUUGAAGUCUGCAACUCGACUUCAUGAAGGCGGAAUCGCUAGUAAUCGCGGGUCAGCAGACCGCGGUGAAUACGUUCCCGGGUUUU
rnacentral:rRNA from 1 species